ensembl:lncRNA
ACAGCAACAAAGCAAAAUGAAAAGUAAGCUGCUAUGUCACAUGAGGGCAUCACACAAUGUUACAUAAGAUGGCUCCCUCCCAGUUAUUAGUUUGAUGUCAGUUUUGGCAUAAACUGAAAUGAAAUAUAGAGAUGACUAGUUAAAGGAAGAAAAAUGUAUGCCGUUUCCCUUCACUAAUAGUCAACCACAGUUUUUACCUUCAUUAUGACAUAAUCUCGUGAAUGGCUGAAUAGGGUGAAAAACAACUGCUGUGUCCACUGUGUCAUAAAAACUUGUGUAGCUCUUCCUUACUAACAGCCUUGGAAGAUCCUUUUGAUGACACACAAGCUUUUUGCUCUGAGCCAAGGUCUCCCCAUCUCUAAUGGGGAUAAAAGUGAAUUAUCCUGAAAGUAGACUUUGCUUAUAUUUGUGUUACAGCUUUCCUUCAUAAAAGAAAAUCUGUGAGAAAAUAAAAUAUGUUAGAAGAGACCAGAAAUUGUUGAGUGGAAGGAGAUAAUGAAAUCAAAAGCAAAAUAGGGACAUGCGUUCAAGGAGGCAAACAUUAACCAGGUCAAAAGCUGCCAUGAUGCAGAAUUCAGAAAUGAGAGCCCUAACAUUUACCCUGAAGGUAACUCAGUGAAUGGAGAGAAAUUGGAGGUGAUGUCUGAUAGGAGAAUGGAAAGAAGGUAGAUGAUGAAGAGAAUGAAAUUAUGCUUUUACUAUGGAAAAGCUCUAAUACUACUUGUGAGAUGCCAAAAUCAGGUGGAAAUUAAUUCAGUGAAUAAGGUAACAGGAUAUUAGGACAAGGUAAGUUCUUCUCUCAUUACUAGAAUAAGAAGAAACUUGCAAGGAGAGUGAAAGCAUGAAACCUGAGUGGUGGAAAUGGAAAAAUAGAAAGUUUUCAGCAGUAUGAAAAAGGCAUAUUAUAACAUACUGGAAAGGCUCCAAAGGAAGGCCACAAAGAUGAUCAAAGGUCUGGAGAACUUAUCCUAUGAGGACAGGCUUAAAGAGCUAUGGUCUUCUUAACUUCUUAAGAAGCUAAGGUCUUCUUCCCUUCCUCCCUGGAGAAGAGAAGGUUCAGGGAUGACCUCAUCACAGUAUUCCAGUACUUAAAGUGCAGCUACGAAGAGGACAGAGGUUUAUUCUUCACAAGGUGCCACAUGGAGAAGACAAAGGGCAAUGGAUACAAGUGGCACUGGGAGAGGAUUCAUCUUGAUAUAAGAAAUGCAACAGCCUCCCCAGGGACACGGCAGAGCCCCCAUCACUGGAGAUUUUCAAGGUGCUAUUGGAUGGGGUGCUAGAAGAUCUCAUCUAGGCUCCCUUUCACAUGAAAAGUUGGAUCACAUGGUCUUUCAAGGUUGCUUACAACCUGCGCUGUUUUAGGAUUCUCUGAAAAUCUUACUAGGAUUUGCAGACUUCACAAUGGCAUGGGCCCCCAAUGGAAUUCAGAGGCUUAACUAGGUAAACAGAUUCCAAAGAGUCACCUGUGCCAUCAGAUUCAACAGGCAGUAACUGGAGUACUUUGACGGAGAUCUGAGCAAGGAAUUGAAAACUACAGAAUCAGUAAAAGAAGCUUUCUUUUUGUUCCCUCCAUUGUCUUAGGAAACUGUACUGACCAGCACUAAAUUUCCUUUUGAUUGUGGGCAACGCUAGCUGCCACUAGCAGUGGUUUUCACUGCAAGCAGCCAACCACUGGAGUAAGUAAACAAGAGCAGCAGCAGUAAAAUCUUUCUAAGCAAGCUCAUACAAAAGCAUCAUCUUCAUUAUUCAACAUCUCAACAAAAGACACUGGCAACACUGAAAUAUUUGGUUUUAUAAAAUUGAGCUUUAGAGAUGAGCUAUCUUUAUUCGAAUGCAGUAAUUGCAUAGUAUCUUAAAAGAGCUUUUUUUUUUUCAUUUUACGAAAACGCAUAACCCACAUUUUUCUUACAUGCUGUUAUAGGAAGAUGGCACUUAGCUUUUCUAAUAGUCAAGCACUGCUUUGCAGAACAGAACAUUGUUCACAAUUAAAAAUAGUGAUUAGAAAAAACUAGAGGGAAGAAUUUUAGAGUAUUUUUAAAUGUGGCCUCUCUAUGGUAUGUAUUUUUAUACUGUUUCAAGGUCUCAAGUAAUAGGAAAAUUAUACAAAGGUAAUACAAGUAAUCUGGAAUCCACUACAUGCAGUUCUAUUUUAAAAGAGCAAUUCACACCAAAUUCUUUUACCGCACUAAGAGUGAGUUCAGGAAAAUAAAUAUCCAAGGAGGAAUAUGGAUUUAAUUGUUAUUGCUGUUACAUUGCUAAAAUAAAACAGCUGUGAUCACACACUCAGAUAAAGCCAUUGUUUAACAAAUAUUUUUAUUAAACAUCUCUGCAGUGAAGAUGAGUCCAGCUCCCCAAGAGGAGAGCAGGCUGCUUCCUGGACCACCCAUUGCUCCCUAGGUAAAACAAUUCAACCAGCUGUUGGGGGGUGGGGGGAACUUGAUCAGACACACUGGACACUGUAGCAGUUAUGGAGCAACUCAUGCUUUCUCACUGACAUACUGAACUAUAACAACUGUAUUUUAACAUUCAAAUAAAUAGACCACAGUCUUUUUUUCAAAGCAUUAAUUUGACCACUAACUAAUAACAGCAAGAGUGUUUUUCAAAUGGCACCUUCCCAAAAAUAACAAUGACCUGUGUAGCCCACAGGAGAGCAGUCUCAGAAAACUAAAGUCAGCUGAUUACAGGAGGCACUGAGGGAAAAGCAGGCACAUGGGAAGGUCAGAGGUACAACAGGAGCAGUCAGGAAAAUAAAUUGGCCACAGUCGUACAGCAAAUAAACGGUAUGUCAGAGCUGUGAAUAAAAUCCAGAAGUCCUGAUUCCUUUUCUCUCUGCCCUAUUGCCCCAGUCCUAACCAGAUCCUCUCUCAAAAUUACUUUCUAACAUAGACAAUCCAGGAGAUUAAAACAUUUUUCCUAUGUACAAAACAAAUGUAGCAAAAGCUAUAUAAAGGAUUCCUUCACACAGUCACUCCACCAUUUACGCUAUGGCCGGAAAGAAUUUGUUAAUAAAUAUUGUACAUUUCCUCCAGGUCAGCAAUCAGAAUGCCUAAGUCUGCAGAAUUUGUCAUUUUUCUAUUUAAGAAUUGGUGUUAGGGUAUUUUCAACAAUUAUUCAAACUUAAAUCUGAGUCACCUUUUACAGGAGUGUUUCCUUCAAGCUCUGUCAUCAAUCAGUCUGUGUUUGCUAGAUGUCUAGGUGUUGGGGGUAUUAGAGGAGUUGUAAAAGCAGAUGACAUUUUCAAGCACAACAUUUAUAAGUAUCCAAUAUUUGUCAAGAUGUAUACUGCUUUUUUGCUUCAGUAAAAUAAGAAAAAUCUCAUAUUUAGACCAGACAGAAUAGAGCCAAGUAAAGUAUGAAUGUUCUUACCUAUGAAAUCUUUUAUGUAAAAGAGCCAUAUAAUAAACAAGAGUACAUGUGAUAAAGACUAAAAUAGCAAAAGUGUUUCUAAUUUCUAAUAAUAAAUGUGCACUGUUUACCAGCGGAUGUGCAGUGUGGUUUUUCCAAACAAAAACCAAUUAAGCAGCUGGUCUUAUCUUAGACUUAAAAGUGCCAAACAAAAAACAGAUUUAGGAUGGGCUCCAAAUUACUAAAGUUGAGCCAUUUCAAAGCGUAUUAAUUAGGUUUCCUAAUAACAUAUCAGUCACUGAAUACAAACUAUCUGCUUUAAUUUAAGGCUUUAUUAGCCACUUGGAACAUGGAGCCCAUGGGUCAAGUCUCCAGUGAUGCAAAUCAGAGCAGUUUUCCUUUAAUCCACAAUCACACAAGUUCAGAACUGGUCUAAAUAUUUAAGACGCCUGUUUUAAAUUACUUGAUUGUAUUUGCAUUUCUUUCAGAUAUCUGUACAGUUAUUAAUUGAACACAGAGUUUCUUAGUCUGGAAAGUUUGCUUCAUAAAAUGUAGGCUUUUCUUCCCCUUUGGCAACUGUUGUCUUCCAUGGUAGAGGUCGCCCUCUAGUGGACACUUUCUCUGAUGUUUUAUUUGUAAGGUUUUCGUAAUCUAAUGGAACAUUUGUACGAUACAUCCAAUUUGCUUUCCAAUUUAAAAUAAUUAAAAGGAAAUGCCAGGACUUAAUUAGUGCCUAUACAAUGUUUCUUGAGGACCUUUGAAAUUAUUACAUUAGUCUCAAGACCAGUUACUUCAAACUGUAAUGAACUUAGGUAUGUAAACAGCAAAAUCAUGUCCUGAAAAGAAUAAUUAUUGAUUCAGUAGUUCAGAGAACAGAUUCAAGGACAAGAACAGUGUUGCUCUGUAUUGACUGACUGCUGUUUUACCAAGCUAUCAGUGCUGACCUAAUUAACCUCCAGUCUGUUUGUACGGGCUACCUUACUGGCUCUCUCAGUACCUUGCUAUUUAGAGGAGGGCAGUAGAUUGAUACCAGAUUCACUUGGUGGUUUACUCAAAACAUUUUACUUUAAAAAGCUGCACUUGGGGCUCCUACAUGGAACAAAUACAUACACACUUACACUUUUUUGUUCUCUGCUAUGGGAGUAUGAUCACAUAAUAUACAACUGAGAAACUGCAUAAGGAUGCCAACUGGCUACAUUCUAUUUCCAUUAUUCAGCAAUGACAAAGGGAUCUCUUAGCAUGAACCUUUCACCUGUGAAUUUUUCUUUCUUCAGAAUGGGACAAUAAAAACAGUUACUGUAGCAGCAACUUUCAUAAUGCAAAUCUCAGCCCGCUAGUUGAGACCACUAACACGUUUAUUGGAUUUUCAAGAACUUGCCAGGUGAUAGUGGUAUGUGGUUACUAUUAUGGUUCUAUGGAAUUUACUGAGAAUCCUAAAUCAAAUAUGAUUUGGGAAGUAGUUUUCUGAGUUUCAGAUAGAGUAAGCAGAGGCUUCUUGAACCAGCUUAAAGUUUAAGGAAAGUGUAUGUUUUUCUCAACGCUAAACUUUUCUAUUCCAAGUCUCCCAGAGUUCCAAAAUCUGCUUUUUUUUCCCUGGUGGGCUGUUGACUAUUUCUCAUGAAUCCUUUCAUAAAGUUUUGGAGGCCACAGGGUGGCCUGUCUGACACUUUCCAUCUAUGGGGAUUUUAGUAGAAUACAUUUAUUUUCCUAGUUCAAUUAGAAGAAUCUCAACCCAGCUGAACAGAUGCCCACAUCACAAAGCAAUAUCACAACAGUUUCUUUUGUUGUCAAUUUCUCUAUAGAGAAACCAGUACUUGUUAAGAAAAGUACUGGAAUAAUAAUAUAAUUAUAUAAUAUAUGCAUAUAUAUGCAUGUACCACUUAUAAAUGAAAUUCUUCUGCUCUUUCUAAACAUGGACUCUAGUCAAAAACUUGCUGCUUAUUUGUAGCUCAGACAAUACUCCCAGUGCAGCAAAAACUCAGAAAUAAAGCCAGUGGGAGAGAUUUUCUGCAAUCUUUUUCUGAAACAGAGUUAAACAGGACUUUAGAACUGGGCUCAGUUCAAAUGAGAUCAAACACUACAGCGCCUAAAGGAGACAAAAAGCUUUGCAAGGUCCAGUGUAUGAUUUAUAACAGUAUGAGCAAUGCGGAGUCAAACUUGCCUGAAGUAAAGGCUUCAGUGAUUUAUAAAAGUAAUUUACAUAACAGAGGCAGUCUAAUAGACCAAACCAUACGUAUUACACUUGACAGUAUUUUAAGGCUGCCUAGGAUGUGUAAUCUGCAGUCAAGAUUUCUCCGUACAGAGAUUAAGUGCACAAAAAAUUACAUAAUAUAGAGAAUAACAGAGCAUUUAAAGAAAGGGCAGAACUAAGUUGGGUGCUACAGAUCAUAGCAGAUAUGCACACAAUAUUUAUUUCUUCACUGUAAUUUCAGUAACGCGGCUCAGUUAUACUGCUGGAAACUGCAAACUGAGAGUGCCAAUAAUCAGCCCCUUCAUCAGAAAGAGGUUUAAACAAGUAGUCUCACCCAUACUAUUGAUCUUAGCAAAACUACACUAAAUUCUGUUUAAAUGUGGAAAAUUACCGGCGAAUCAACAAAUAUGAAACCUAUAUAUGCAUUUUUUUGCCUGUACUUAGAGAAAAAAAAAAAAGUUCAAAUCCUAGAACUAAUCAUCUAAAGCUGUAGGUGUCAUAUAUGGGCAAUUUGUAUGAGCAAUAUUGCUGCACUUAGUAUUCUACAACGGCAUCAUCCAUUCAAGGCUCUCUAGAGCUCCAACACCCUUUCAGCAUAGCUAAAUUUAAAUUACACUGGGUUGAAAAGCUCAAGAGAGAGAAAACACACAAACUAGUCUGGGAUUCCCUCCCCCUCUUUUCUUUCUCUCGCUUUUCUCCACAAACACUUAAAAAGGCAGUGCAUGUUUGCACGAGUUCCUUGGCAGUGCUGCUGUUCACCUUCAUUUUGGCUUCUGAGAAUAAUGAAGGGAGAGUAUCUGCUCAAGGAACAGUCAUUGCUCUUUAUGUGUACGGUUUUUAUUAUUGUUUCCUUUCAAAGCAGGAUUUUGUUGAGGAAAUUCUCCAAGUUUUUGAACAUAAUUUAUU